CCACAGAAGGUAAUAGUCCUGUAUGUUAAACGAGAAGACUUUAGAUAUGAUCCAGAGUACCACGGGACACGUGAAACCCUGUGUGAAGCAGGAGGGACCACCCUCCAAGGCUAAAUACUACCUAGUGACCGAUAGCGUAUAGUACCGUGAGGGAAAGGUGAAAAGAACCACGGAAAGGGAGUGAAAUAGAACCUGAAACCAUGCACUUACAAGCUGUGUAAGCCCAUUUCUUGUGUGACCGCGUCCUUAUUGUAGAACGGGCCAACAAGUUACGUUAAGUAGCAAGGUUAAGCACUUAAGGUGCGGAGCCGUAGCGAAAGCGAGUUUUAACUGAGCGUUCAGUUACUGGACGUAGACCCGAAACCGGGCGACCUACCCAUGAGCAGGAUGAAGCGAAAGUAAAAUUUCGUGGAAGUCCGAACCCACGAGCGUUGAAAAGCUCGGGGAUGACUUGUGGGUAGCGGUGAAAUUCCAAUCGAGCCCGGAGAUAGCUGGUUCUCCCCGAAAUAGCUUUAGGGCUAGCCUCAAGGUGAGAGAUACGGAGGUAGAGCACUGAAUGUCCUAGGGGGUAUUGCACCUACCGAAGACUAUCAAACUCCGAAUGCCGUCAUCUUAUACUUGGGAGUCAGACUGUGGGUGAUAAGAUUCAUAGUCGAAAGGGCAACAGCCCAGAUCGUCAGCUAAGGUCCCUAAAUGUAAGUUAAGUGGUAAAGGAUGUGGGAUUGCACAGACAACCAGGAUGUUGGCUUAGAAGCAGCCACUCAUUCAAAGAGUGCGUAAUAGCUCACUGGUCGAGUGAUCCUGCGCCGAAGAUUUCCGGGGCUAAAACUUACUACCGAAGCUACGGCAUCAGUAAUGAUGGGUAGAGGAGCUUCCCAUACGGGUUGAAGACUAACCGUAAGGACAUGUGGACAGUACGGGAGUGAGAAUGUUGGCAUGAGUAGCGAGAUGUGGGUGAGAAUCCCACAGGCCGUAAACCCAAGGUUUCCAGGGGAAGGUUCGUCCGCCCUGGGUUAGUCGGGACCUAAGCUGAGGCCGAAAGGCGUAGGUGAUGGACAACAGGUUGAUAUUCCUGUACUACCGAUAACCGUUUGAGAGAAGGGAUGACACAGUAGGAUAAGCUAAGCACACUGUUGGUUAUGUGUGCCCAAGCAUUGAGGCAGUCAAAGUAGGCAAAUCCGCUUUGAUAAUGCUGGGAUGUGAUGGGGAGCGAAAUUUAGUAGCGAAGUAGCUGAUUUCACACUGUCAAGAAAAGUCUCUAUCGAGGUUAAAGGUACCCGUACCGCAAACCGACACAGGUGGGUGAGGAGAGUAUCCUAAGGCCAGCGAGAGAACUGUUGUUAAGGAACUCGGCAAAAUGACCCCGUAACUUAGGGAUAAGGGGUGCCACCAUCAGGUGGCCGCAGAGAAUAGGCCCAAGCGACUGUUUACCAAAAACAUAGGUUUCUGCUAAGUCGCAAGACGAUGUAUAGGAGCUGACGCCUGCCCGGUGCUGGAAGGUUAAGGGGAUCUGUUAGAGCAAUCGAAGCAGUGAACUUAAGCCCCAGUAAACGGCGGCCGUAACUAUAACGGUCCUAAGGUAGCGAAAUUCCUUGUCGGGUAAGUUCCGACCCGCACGAAAGGCGUAACGAUUUGGGCACUGUCUCAACAACAGACUCGGUGAAAUUGUAAUUCCGGUGAAGAUGCCGGAUACCUGCGACAGGACGGAAAGACCCCAUGGAGCUUUACUGUAGCUUGACAUUGGGUCUUGGUACUACAUGUACAGGAUAGGUGGGAGGCUUUGAAACCAGGACGCCAGUUUUGGCGGAGCCAUCCUUGGGAUACCACCCUUGUAGUACUGGGACUCUAACCAUAGGCCAUGAAUCUGGUCUUGGGACACUGUCAGGUGGGCAGUUUGACUGGGGCGGUCGCCUCCCAAAAGGUAACGGAGGCGCUCAAAGGUUCUCUCAGUACGGUCGGAAAUCGUACGUAGAGUGUAAAGGCAAAAGAGAGCUUGAUUGCAAGACAUACAGGUCGAGCAAGGAUGAAAAUCGGACUUAGUGAUCCGGUGGUUCUGCGUGGAAGGGCCAUCGCUCAACGGAUAAAAGCUACCCUGGGGAUAACAGGCUUAUCUCCCCCAAGAGUCCACAUCGACGGGGAGGUUUGGCACCUCGAUGUCGGCUCAUCACAUCCUGGGGCUGUAGUAGGUCCCAAGGGUUGGGCUGUUCGCCCAUUAAAGUGGUACGCGAGCUGGGUUCAGAACGUCGUG
rnacentral:rRNA from 1 species